CUUUGGCGUGGUUGUAGCUGGCUCUUAGGAGCAUGUGCACACCCGUCAUCUUUA
rnacentral:rRNA from 1 species